ensembl:lncRNA
GGGAAGGAAGGCAGAGCUGAAACAGCAAUCUUUGGAUGCACACUACUCAUUGCUUUGGGUCUUUUUAAGGGAAGACACGCUCCUUAUGUGGUCUAAGGAAGAAUCACUAUUAAAGGGAAUACACUUAAAUAAAACAGGACAUGGGAUGUCAAGUGGAAGGAGUAGCAAGGGGAGAAUCGCUCAAAGCGAAAGCAAAAGGUUUGGAAGGGAGAGGAGAGGGAUGCACUGCGCUGAGCACACAGCACUGUCCGGGAGCGGGCGGACAUGGGAAGGAGCAUUCAGCCCCGAAAAGGUGUCAGAAGUCAAUGGCUCAGACAAAGGCUUCGUCUUCUGUAACCUCCUCAUUUGCCACGAGAGACUACUUCUUAAUCUAUUUUUUUUUUUCCUUCACCGGGGAAUAAAAUAAAAUGAAGUAUAAGAUAGGAUUCCUACGGCUCGUGGGCUGCUAGCGUUAGUUUUGCUCCGUGCCACCAAGUUCCUUCCCCCUGCAGAUUGAAAAGAGGAGGUGAGAGGCAAAGCUGUGAGUCUGCCUGGAAAGGGACCCGGUGGUUCACCAUCAUUUCGAGAAGAGAUCAUCUCCCCUCCAAGAGGGCAACCGGAGCUUUUGCGGAGCACAAACGCUGCGAGAUAACCUUGCAGGAGCUGAAGGCGAUGGCAAAGCGUGCUGUAAUUGCGGUGCGGAUCUUUGCUCGUGCUUCUGCCAGGAGGAAUGCUCGGGAUCCCGCUGCUCUGAGCGGACUUUGAUUCGCGUAACUUUGCGCGCAGCCACCAGGGAUGGCUUCGGGUCGAGAGGAGCGCGGACAGAGAGUGUUUUGCGGGGGGUUCGCGUCGUGGUUUGGGAUUCCGCAGCGCAGAGGGGGGAGAGGACGCUGCGUUAACCCGCGUCUGUAGUUUGCUGUAAGGUGAAGAGUCUCCAUCUCCGCCUCGCACUGCUCGGUGCACUCCCCGAAUGGAAGGGGUUUGUACGGCAAUCGCGAUCGUUUCCCUCGUGUGUGUGCGGGUGUGAGUGUGCGCGGAGCCCACGGCGACGCGGGGAGCGAAGCGCUCCGUGCAAUGGAGGUUCCCGUGUAAAUAAAAGAAAUCUUCAGCAGAUAUGUUCGCCUUUGUGUGCCACCACCAAAACGCCCCAUCCACGACUCAUUCCGUGACCUUGCCUGCUCGCAUGAAGGCUCCAAAAACUGCUGCUCCUCAUUAGGGCUGCGCUGCUUGGGUAAUUUCUGCUCGUUUUGCGGUUCGUCUGUGGUGUAUUCUGACAUAUUUCUCCCCUGGAAAACGUCCCCACUGACUCUCAGUGCUCCUCUCCCCCCAUGCUCAGCCCUUUCUCUCUCCUUCUCCCUCUGCCUCUUUCUCUUCCCCUCUCUCCCCUUCUGCACAUACACACAACCCUUCUUUGUAGGGAUUCUCCCAGAUAUUCCACCGGUUUGGGAAAGCCAAGCUGCUUUCACGUCACUCCCUGCAUCUCAGCACCUUCGCACCGUAACUAUUUCUUAAAAUGGGAAUAGAUCAAAGAGUGACGAGCACAGAUAUAUGCGUAUAUAGAUACGUAUUUCUUUUCUUGCGAACAUAAAAGUAACCGUCAUUGGAGAGCUGUGAUUGACAGAUAAAUUGGUCUCGAUAAAGGCCAAAGAAGACAGUCUGCUCCUGCAGGAAUAUUUCCCUUUAAGGGCUCCCAUAAAGCAGGGGGCUCAGAACGGAACGGGGGAUAAAUUCUGCGGCUGAGCGAGUGGAUGACUUUCCUCGUCGAAUUUGGCAAACCACGAAUCCCUCCCCAAACAUCCCUCCCGUCGGGGUUUUGUUUCCAAGCCUUCCCUGUGUUCUCCGAGGGGGAAACCCCACUUCCAGGGGCUGCGCGGUGCAGUGAAGGGCAGCGUUUAGUGUUGGCUCAGCUGAGGCUCGUGACUUUGGGGGGGUCCGGGAGGACUUUCCUGGCAGCCCCACUCCCCGCCUGUCUGUCUCCGGAUCUGUUGGAUUCACUCACGCUCCAAUCUCCCCCUCCGACUUGCUGAGAAAAGGAAAGAGCGAGAAAUGGAAUGCGGUUCUGUCCCGGGGGUGCGUGGGAUCCGCGCCGGGGGAACGCCGCGCACUGGGGACACUCUGCCCUCCCGGUGCCUUUCUGCCCCUGGGGGAAGGGAUGGGGAGGUGGGGGGGGGCUCCACCGCUCUCUGAGCCCCCACUUUUUCUUCCUCUUGCAAACGUUGCCCGUUUCCCUCUCUCUCCCCACCGCGUCACCCCAGCCCUAUAAAACCCGUGGUGAUGAAUAGCCCUGAGGAGCCCGGACAAUCAGGCUUAUGAUUUUGUGUGUGCGUGUUGUUUGGGUUCUUAAAAAAAAUAAAAAUAAAAAAGAAAGAAAGAAAAAAAGAAAAGAAAAAGAAAAGAAAAAUGAAGGAAGAAAGAAAAAGAGAAGGGUCCUUUUUUUUUUUUUUUUUUGUGGAUAUAUUUCCUUUCUCUUUCUUUCUUUGCAGAGAAAUCGCCCAACUCCAUUCUUUCAGCCCCCAAUGGGCGUGAGCCACGUACCUACCUGUCUAUCCUUACAAAGGAAAGCUUAUCCUCCCAACACGCAGUCAGGGCAUCCCCGAGUUGUUUGGUUGUUUGUUUUUUUUUAACCUCUCCCAACUCUCUCCCAUCGAUUUGGUGAGAAAAGAGAAAAGGGAAAAGAAAAGUUGCGCGUGAAAAAAAAGCAGCAAAAAAGGGGAAAAAGGAAGCAAAAAUAUCCCCCGAAAGAACAACCCAACAACGACACCGCACGCAGAAAUGAAACCCGGAGGGGUAGAAAAAGGAGCGCAGCGCUGCUCUGAGUACCCCGCGCUGCUCUCUCCCACCGCUCCGCCGCUUCCCCCGUCAGCCCGGCACGAACUCAGCCUCGCAGUUUUAUUUAACGAACGACACGUUUAUGAACAAUCAAACGAUCCUCGUAAAAAUUUUAUUGAAGGGCAUAAAAACAUCCCCGGCCGUCCGCUCUCUCGCCGAAUAACGCGGCUCUCUCAGCGCCAGAGCUGCUGUCUGUCUGUCGGUCUGCCUG